AGAGUGAGAUCCUGUCUCUAAAGAAAAAAAAAUUAAUUAAUUAUACAAGUAAUAUAUGAUUUUAUUCCCAUGCUAAAAAUAGUCAAACAACAAAGAUCAUGUAACAACCCAUGUAAUCAGUUUGGUUUUUUUUCCUCUGGUUCUUACUCAACGCAUUUACAUAUAUGUCUAGUGUAUACAGUAUACGCGUGUGCGGCGUACGCAGUAUACGCGUGUCCGGCAUACGCAGAAUAUGCGUGUCUGGUGUACGCAGUAUAUGCGUGUCUGGUGUAUGCAGUAUAUGCAUGUGUACAUAUGUAUGUACACAUAUAUAUCUAUAUAUAUAUCACAUUGUACAAUUUACAUUAUACUUUUUUCCUCUG
rnacentral:lncRNA from 10 species